rnacentral:rRNA from 1 species
UGCCUACGGGUGGCUGCAGUGGGGAAUUUUGGACAAUGGGGGCAACCCUGAUCCAGCCAUGCCGCGUGCGGGAAGAAGGCCUUCGGAUUGUAAACCGCUUUUGUCAGGGAAGAAACGCGCUGGACUAAUACUCUGGCGUAAUGACGGUACCUGAAGAAUAAGCACCGGCUAACUACGUGCCAGCAGCCGCGGUAAUACGUAGGGUGCAAGCGUUAAUCGGAAUUACUGGGCGUAAAGCGUGCGCAGGCGGUUGUGCAAGACAGAUGUGAAAUCCCCGGGCUUAACCUGGGAACUGCAUUUGUGACUGCACGGCUAGAGUACGGCAGAGGGGGAUGGAAUUCCGCGUGUAGCAGUGAAAUGCGUAGAUAUGCGGAGGAACACCGAUGGCGAAGGCAGUCCCCUGGGCCUGUACUGACGCUCAUGCACGAAAGCGUGGGGAGCAAACAGGAUUAGAUACCCGUGUAGUC